rnacentral:lncRNA from 1 species
UUUUUUUAUCAGAAGCUUGUGAUUUAGUUCUUAACGCAGCAAGUAGGGAAAAUAAUUCUUAAUCAUUAGUACUAAUAAUGAAGCAGCUGAUUCAGUAGAGCGGGGCUGCAAUACACAUUGUGUAACAAAAUCUAAUUCUUUCUCGAUACGUUACUCAAAAAUCCAAUGCAGAUGGCUUCUUCCUCCAUCUACGAACAGCUCCCACUUUUCAUCCCCUUUUCUACCAUUAGCAAGAACCUGCUUCAGUUGCAUGUAUACGAAAUUCAAAUAACGACUUCAAAUAUAGUAUCAGACCCAUUGCCAAUCUAAGUAGCAGUAAAAGACUUGCAUGUAUCUUCAUAUAUUCUUAUAACAGUGCACAUUUGUAGGUAAUAACCUGCAGUUUUAGAAAUACAGUAUGAAUUUAGUCAGACAUGUCUGUAUUCAGCUGUUAUGUGUCAGAGUUAAAAGUUGUAGGUCAUAUAAUUGCAAAUAUGAGAGAUUAGAUGAAAGUAUGUUAUUCCUGAUAUGAAAUUUCGUUCGCUUGUUUAAUAACCAUCUACAUGCUUGAAGCUCAAUUAAUUAAUGACUACGAUAAAUGUUGUCUGCUAAAGAUCAAAUAAAUGUCUGUGAUAAAAUAUUUUCUUCAUGAAAUGGUUGUGACUAUCUAAGAUAUCCACCACCUACAGAUGAUAUGAUCCAGUGUUGAACAAGCAGUGAAUAAGAAAAAUUCCAUCGCGAAAUUCUUAUCAUAUUGCCAAGCUUGCGCUAAUUGCAUACUGAAAAUAGCAUCUUAUGUCAAGUGGUAACACAUAAUAUUUUGCGACUGUUAAUUAACUUACAAGGGCUCAAUAUCAUAAUCUUCUAGACUUUUCACAACUGUUCUCAUCCUUAGCUUAAAUGUUGGUAUUGGAUAAGGAAAAGGACAAACAUGUUCUCUUUUACAAAGUCAAUCUUAUCCCAUUUCUUUCAAAAGAAGUUGACUGGUGGGACAAGAUUGACUUUGGUUCUCAGAGAAUGUAUCGAUUGUUUAAAAAUGUUAAAAUUCCAAUCUAAGUGUUCUCUUUUUCUGUUUUUUGAUUUCUCAACCGAUAUCCGGUAUCCUUGGUCUCCGACUAAUCCGGAUUCGCGCGGGUAGGACCCAAUUGGAGGGGUAUCGCUCACUACCAAAGAUUUUUUAUAGCCAAGGCUCGAAUUCGAGGUGUCUGAUUAAUAGAAGAGCAACCCCAUCCACUCCACUACAUCCUUUAGUGGUACAAUCUGAGUGUUCUCUAUUUCACAGGCAAGGAAGAGUUUCAGAGCAUUGAGGGGUUUAGUAAGGCUUCAAGGAGUGGUAAGAAGUAGUAAUGUAAAAGAGCAAACAGCAAAUGCCAUGAAACAGAUGCAACUUCUGGUUAGGGUCCAAACUCAAAUUCAGUCAAGGAGGAUCCAAAUGUUGGAAAACCAGGCACAUCAAUACCAAGCAUACAGGAACGAUAAGGACGUUGAGAGCACCGCGAGCAAAUGGACUAAACUGGUAUGCUUGGACCAUCUUCAUGAGUUUUUUCUUGUAUCUUCAAGUUUCGGUGUAGAGAUAUUGGUAACAGUCGAAAAUUAAUACUCAUGCACUUCUCUUGUUGUUGAUCCUUUCGCUUCGAUUAUUCUAUCGCAUUAUACUGUUGAUGUUACUACGUGUUGUGUUGUGUUUGCUUCUUUUACUUUUUACCUUGAGUCGGAUUUCUAUCAAAAACAACCUCGUUACCAUCACGAGGUAAGAAACAACCGUAAUUUGUGCAAUUAUUUGUUGUUGCUGCGCUUUUCUUGUUAUUCGAAGAGAUUUGAGAUUUCCACUGACGAUUUGAGGAAAAAAUUAUUGGUAUAGUGCGAGGCAGGUAACCAUGAUAAUUGGGAUGAUAGUUUGCUAACCAAAGAAGAAGUAGAAGCAAGGAUGCAGAAGAAAGUGGAGGCAGUCAUCAAAAGGGAGAGAGCAAUGGCAUAUGCCUAUUCUCACCAGGUACAACAGUUUUUUCAUGUUGUCAAAAAGUUGACUAAUGGUCAUUUUAUGUUGUCUAAGGUAUUAACAAUUACAAUAGUUGGAGUAAAAUCCUGCAUACGCCCCUAAUCAGUAGUGUUCAAGGUCUUGAUUGUUGUUUGUUGUUACUAAUCUCGGCUGAGUGCAGAUUGACAAUAAAUAUCUCUCUUACCUAGGUUUAACGCUAAUCUUGUUAAACGACAUCUUUUAUCAGCUAUGGAAAGGUGAUCCAAAAUCGGCUCUGGACAUGGGAGCUAGUGGAUUAUGGUGGAAUUGGUUUGAACGCCAGCUACCUUCUGAAAAUGUAUACAAGGGCCAACCUACUGUUAAAGAUAUCAACCUAACAACACCAAGAGCGAUUUCAGAGCACAAACCAAGUCCAGCGCCUCUAAACAACAAUUUGAGACACCUAUUCUCUGAGUACAAUAAUCAUGAAUCGGUCACACCAGCAAGGGCAAUUUCAGAGCACAAAACAAGUCCAACACCUCUAAACAACAAUUUCAGACGCAUACGUUCUGAUUACAAUAACCAUGAAUCGGCCACACCAAUGUCAACCAAGUCAGCAAUUCCAACGAGGGGAAAACACAUGCAUACUCCAAGUAGAACACCACCACUGAACAGCUCAAGUCUACGAAAGUAUUCAAGAACCAGAGCUAGUGCUACUAACUACCCUUUUGAUCUUCCAUUAAAGGAAGACGAUAGCCUCACGAGUUGUCCUCCGUUUUCAGCUCCACAUUACAUGGCACCUACUACCUCAGCUAAAGCUAAACUCAGAGCAAGUAGCAAUCCCAAGGAGAGAAUUUCACAAAAACCAAUCAGUGACACAAAUAAAAUAUUUUCCUUCCGUUUGACUCCAAAUAUUUGGUUUUCCAAAUGGAGCAAAGGCUCUGGAAAGGAUUCUAUUUCUCGAAAAGAACUCGAUACACAAGAGUCUGUGGCAGAUCAUACAAGUGUGGAUUCAACUGUCUCAAUGCCAGCAGUAGUUGGGAGGAGACCAUUUAACAGAUUUGUGUGAUUGUUCUUUGUAAUUAUUUCAUAUGGACAGUAAUUUUCACAAUUUAAUUGCUGCUUGCCUCUGAAAAAUUACUUAAUUGUCAGAUUGGUUUUGUUUUUACAUUUAGGUUUGAUUUCGUUUACGGUAUUUUUCAAUCAAAUUUUAUCUCACUAUUUUGUACUUUAGCUUUAGAAAUUUUCAUAUCAAGAGCAAUCUUUCCCCAUCUAAUUGUUGUGUUUGUCACUGGAAAAUUCCUUCAUACCAAGGACCCUCAAACUUUCUUCUUUUGCUUCUCCUCUACUAGACUACUACAUGCCUUCUUCCACUACCCCGAAUAUCAUAAAAAUAUCAUUUCUACAAACUUUUGUUCGACAAAGUUAUCAUGUAGAGUCAAAAAUGUUUAUUUUGACACAAUAGUUUUAAUACUACUAAUAUGUAUUUAGAAUUUAUCUCUACUUUUUUAGAUUCACAAGUUUAUUUCUCUUUAAAAUGUAUAUAAAUCUUUCACUCAAUUCUUCAUUAAGCUGAAUAUUAUUCAUCAAUCAAAAGGCAUAUUAUGCUGGCCCAGACGUUGAGAAAAGGAGAUUUCAGUUGUCGACUUUAAACCUUUUUCUCUAAAAUUUAUUCUUAAGCUAUUCCAAAAUUUUCACAUCUUUCCACUAUCAAAAUUAAAAUCUAAUUUACUCUUAAUAACAGGCCUAACAAACUAAUCAACUGUCACUACCUUCUAAUACGCCGUAUUAUAUCAAUCUUAAUUUGGUAGACAUCUGUAAUUAGAUUAAACAAUCACAUCUUGAAUCUUAGUUAAAGUAAUUUGUUUAAAAUUACAACGAUCUCCGACAUAUAAAUUCUUCUACAGGCAUAGAGAAUGGAGAAACAAAAUGAUUUUCAUCUUGGAAACAUGAUUGCUUCGCGAGCGAAAAGCUUAAGAGUAUAAAGAAAUCUUAAUCUGUCUUUUAAAAAUAAAACUGAAAAACAAAAAUUAAUUAAAAGGAGAAAAAUGAGUUGUUCGUAAAUGUGAUAAAAAAUGUAGCGACUUGUUCGAGGCCGUAAGCAAAACAAGAGUAUUUGAAAGGCACGGAGAAUCACUUAUUGAUAUCGCCAACCUUCAAUGCAAGUGUUCGUCAUCAUUUAUUGACGCACUUGCUCUGCAAAUUGGCUUUUUUUCCAUCAUUCCAGUGAAAUCAAUAGAGAUAAAGAAAAACAAAUUCGAAAACCAUAAGAAGAAAUAUAGCUUACAAGUAAUUGCGAUUUCUGAGUGUUGAUGACUGAGAUAGAUGGUAAAGUCGUUGCAUUUUAUAGGCAGCAGGAAUUAGAAGAGUAACCCUAACCCUAGUUUUUUUAGGAGGCAAAAUUGAUCG